rnacentral:rRNA from 1 species
AGUGAACGCUGGCGGUAGGCCUAACACAUGCAAGUCGAACGGCAGCACAGUAAGAGCUUGCUCUUACGGGUGGCGAGUGGCGGACGGGUGAGGAAUACAUCGGAAUCUACUUUUUCGUGGGGGAUAACGUAGGGAAACUUACGCUAAUACCGCAUACGACCUACGGGUGAAAGCAGGGGAUCUUCGGACCUUGCGCGAUUGAAUGAGCCGAUGUCGGAUUAGCUAGUUGGCGGGGUAAAGGCCCACCAAGGCGACGAUCCGUAGCUGGUCUGAGAGGAUGAUCAGCCACACUGGAACUGAGACACGGUCCAGACUCCUACGGGAGGCAGCAGUGGGGAAUAUUGGACAAUGGGCGCAAGCCUGAUCCAGCCAUACCGCGUGGGUGAAGAAGGCCUUCGGGUUGUAAAGCCCUUUUGUUGGGAAAGAAAGGCAGCAGGUUAAUAUCCCGCUGUUCUGACGGUACCCAAAGAAUAAGCACCGGCUAACUUCGUG